CUCUGCAGGCCUGGAUGAAGCUCUCAAGUAUGACUCCUCCAGCCCAGGCAUCUGCAGAGAUUUCACAACAGGAAAUGAGAUGAAUAAUCUUGAAACUGCACUCUCACAGCUCAGAGGAAGAGCAUCUGCACAGGCUCUCUGGCGUCUGGCUUCCUGGAGGAGCCAGAGUCGCUUUCACUUUCAAAGAACACAUUUACUAGCUGAGGAGCCUUGGCCUUGGACACACACAUCAGUGAGCCUCAUAGAAGAGCAGGGGUCAGGUAUCACCUUAAACCUAAAAGAAGAAAACUUAGACAAGCUGAGAGCCCCCCAACUCAGCAUGAUGUUCAGCAUGCCUGCUUGAAAGGAAAGCCAACGUAGUAACGAGAACAUCUGCAAGCACCAUUCAGCCUUGAAACUAUAGAAAAAACAACCACUGAUAAACUUCCCUCCUCAGAGUUCCCUCUUCUGCCCAAGCCCUGCAUCUGGGCACACAGUCUCCAUCCCCAAGGGAGCCUGGGGUCCUUCAGUUGUUCUGAUCAGAAGAUAAUCUGUCCUUGUAGAGGCCGCUCUGCUCUUCCUUUUAUUUCCAACUCUCCUCCAUCAGUUCCAAUAAAACACCCAUUUCCAGAGCAGAAAUGGCUGACAGAGACAAGGAUCCACUGGCCUCCUGCUUGGAGCAACCACAGAAGGGACACUGGAAGACGUAUGGACAAGCUCUGUGCAGUCAGGCAUUAUUGGAGGGCACUAUCAACACAGGAGCAGCUCAGUCCCAGAAGGCAAGUGACAGAGAGGAGGCUCAGCAUGAGGGUCAAAAGGGCUUGGACCCCUCCCACCACACCUGGAAACAGAUGAACCUGGAGCUACAGCAGCCCUUUUCUCUCUCAAAGAAAGACUUGAUACUAAGACAUCCUUCAUUGCUCAGAUUCAUAAGCACACCCAACAUGAAGUUCCUUGAAUGGUCAGAUGACUUUGAACUAAAGAAGACACUUGAUAAAUGGGACCAAGACUCUGGAUUUGGAAGCAGAGGUAAGCUGAACUGUGGGCUGUGGAUGGGACUUCAAGUCCACAUAGAUGAGGUUUCUUCACAGGUGAGCCUCCACCCCUAUGGGGACCUGGUAUAAGGGACUUAAAUGGAGGAGCAGAGGAGCCAUUGUGGAGUGCUAAGAGUCACAGGCUGGAAAUUGAUCCCUCUGGGCUCUGCAGUGAUGAAGUUGAA